rnacentral:ribozyme from 1 species
UUCUCAAUUUUUUCGUGAUUUUUAUUUUUAUUUUUUAUUUUUAUAUAUUACAUAGAAAACAAAUAGAAAAACGUGAUAACGCUAGGUUAUACGAAUGAACACAAAGGUACAGA